GUCAUUUGCCCUUGGGCACCGCAAUUCAAGGAGCCAUGGCCAAGCAGCUCUGGGAAUGGGACAGGUAGGGUGGGCAGAGGCCUGAGAGCCCAGCCAGCUCAGGCCAGCUCUGAGGCAGAGGCAGCAGUGGGGCUGGCCUGGUCUUACGGGCAGUCCUUCAGUGGUUUCACCGUGUUAGCCAGGAUGGUCUCGAUCUCCUGACCUUGUGAUCCGCUCGCCUCGGCCUCUCAAAGUGCUGGGAUUACAGGCACCCUCCUGCUGGGGUCCUCCGACCUCUGACUUGCCGAGUGACACCGUGACCCGAGAUGCACCCUUCGCCCUUGUCUUCAGGACACAACCAGAGAUGGAAUCCACAGGACACAGAACAAAAGGUGUACCAGAGCCAGGCUGGCAGUGACACUCGACAGGCCAGCCCAGCAGGUAGCCCUGCAGCUCCUGCAGGUCAAUCUCGGCCAGUGCAGGCCCAGUCACCACAAACAUGCGGAGCAUGUUGUAGAUACGAUCCAGUGAGAGGCUCUCCAGGUUGGUCAGCAUGGCCUGGAUGUACGUCCAGAAGAGCUGCGGACACAGGCCAGCCCCCGUCAGGCACCUGCAGGCCUCGCCCCCGCCCCCUGGCCCCCCGUGGGGCCUGCACGCGCACCAGCAGCUCCUCCUCCUUCUGGUCGGCCUGGGAGGCCAUGCCGGAGUCGCUCUCGUCGUCACUGUCAAUGAGCACCAUGUUGUCCCGGUCCUGAGGCCGCUCCUCCUCAAUGACAGAGAAGGUGCCGGGGGGCUCCUCACGCAGCACACCCUGCUGCAGCCACACGGACAUCCGCCGCCGCAGCAGCGCCACGGGCAUCUUCACCGCCUUGCUCAGUUCCUCCAGGGUCCAGCUGGCUGCGUGCAGAGUCACCGGGACGCUGGGCAGCCUGGGCACGGGCUGCACCUCCCCUGCCUCCCGUCAGCCGAGAGGUCGGGGGGCUCCCGGGCCACCCUGCCUUGCCCGUGGGAAAGGGAAGGGUGCCGCCUGCUGGCGCAGCUGCCCCAAACCACACCCUCACUGGGGAACAGCCCCUCACCCACAGCUGGGCCGUGUGGCCGGGGCAGGCCAGCUAGGGGCUGGUGGGCUCACCUUGGUCCUGAAAAUACAGCAAGAUCACCGCCUGUACUGGGGUGACCGCCACAGACAGCGUGCGGUCGGCCAGCUCCACGUCCAUGGUCACCAGGCCCAGGGUGUGCUUCCAACUGAGGGUCCGCAUGGCCUAAGGAGGGCCAGGGUCAGCACGGGCAGCUCGGCUGCAGGGCGCUCAGGCCCGUGGGCUCUGCCACCUGGUACCAGUGAGAAAGGGGCUCCCAGAGCCACCUGCCCCACCCCACCCUGGCAGGCAGGUGAGCAGCGAGAGCACAGGACUGGGUGGGGUCCCCACCUGCUCAGCCACCAUGGAAGGGCAAUGGGGCCAGCAUCAUAAGGUGUGUCCCGAAAAGGCUACAGGGGCCUCCUGACCCCCAGUGCUUGGAAAUGUGGCCAUAUUUGCAAACAGGGUUGAUGCAGAUGUAACUGAGGUGCAUCCUAACCCAACUGACUGGGGUCCUUCUAAGAAAAGGAAAGAUAGGAAGACACAGGCAGGCGGGGAGGGGGCCACACGAAGACAGAGACCACCUGGAGCAACGCGGCCACAAGCCAAGAAACACCAAGGGCUGUGGCAAACACCAGAAGCUGGGGGGCAACGGAGGUCUCUAAGAGGGUUCAGAGGGAACGGGGCUGCCAGUACUUUCAUCUUGGACUUCCAGCCUCCAAAACUAAGACAAUCUAUUUCUGUUUUUUAAGCCACCCAGUUUGUGACACUUUGUUACAGCAGCCACAGUAAACGAACAGAUUUUGGUACCAGGAAGGGCCAGGAGGGGUGCUGCCAAAACCUAACACCAAGAACUGUGGCAGCAGCUUUGGAAGUGGGUGAUGGGGAGAGGCUGGAAGAACUGGUGAGGCCUGCACGACUGCUGGUAGAAAGGCAUGAAGACAAGCCUGGAAAUGGCUGGAAGAGGAGAGCUGCCGCCGUCUUGGAGAAUGCACACAGCAUCACAGACUGGAUGUCGGCAGCAAUGCCGACCCAACAGGUGCUUCCAGUGAGGUCUCAGAUGGAAAUGACCGUGCUACUGGGAACCGGAGGAGGCAGCAGAGAGCUUGGCUGGCUGCUGCUCUGCUGUUGGGUGCGAAGUGGGACCUGCAGCUGAUGAGCCUGGACAUCAAGCUGAGAUUUCCAAGCAGUGUGGAAGGUGCCACCUGGCUUCUCCUUGCUACUUAUAGCAGAAUGCAAGAGGGAAACAAUCAGUGAGGCAGGGACCAUUAAGCAAAAAGGCACCAGCCCUUGGGGAUCUGAAAAAUACUCUAUCCAGGCAGCUCUGAGACGUGGCCAAGGGUGUGGCUGGACCAGGGUUUGCUAGACAUGAGGUGUGACCUGUGUAUCCAACUAACCAUCUCAGCAGCAGACAGGGACAGGUGGGGCCUCCGGGAAAGGGCUGCGGACCCGCCUGUCUGAAGGCUUCGGCACUGGUGAGCUGCAUAAGCCAACAAGGUGUGAGAAUUUUACACCCGCAGAAGUGCUGCCAGGCUGGAGUGAAAGGAAGGCAGGCUCCAAGAGCAGAGCCGCCGAGGCCAAGGCUGACGGAGCAGGGGGCCAAAGAGGAUUCGCAGGCCUGGAAGUCAAGUGGAAUUUCGGCUGCUGGGUUUGGACUCGCUGUCCUUUUUCCUCCCAGUUUUCCCUUUUGGGGUGGGAAUGUGUAUGCUUGUCUUACGGCUGAACUUUUGAAACAGAUCAUCUGUUGGCUGAUUUCACGGCGUCCCAGCUGGAGGAAUGGCGCGCACUCCAGCCUCACCUGUACCUUGUUUAGAUCUAUUUACGUAGAGGAAUGGCGCACACUCCAGCCUCACCUGGACCUCGUUAAGAUGCAUUUACAGGCUGAGAUGUGUGUGGAACUUUGUGUGGAUGGUAGUUAGAUGAGAUUUUGGACUUGGAGUUGAUGCUGAAAUGGUGAAGACUUUUGGGGACACUGGGGCUGUCACUUGCACGUGGGAGGGGCCCACCAUGGGGCAAAUUGUCAUGCACUGAAUUGUGCCCCUCGAAAAAUGACACAUGAACCCCUAACUCCCGGUGCCUCUGAUGAGAUCUUAUUUGGAAAUACGGUCAUUAAAGAUAUAAUUAAGAUGA